AACGCGAAGAACCUUACCAAAUCUUGACAUCCUCUUGACAAAGUAUGUAAUGUACUCUUCCUUCGGGACAAGAGUGACAGGUGGUGCAUGGUUGUCGUCAGCUCGUGUCGUGAGAUGUUGGGUUAAGUCCCGCAACGAGCGCAACCCUUAUCUUUAGUAGCCAGCAUUUAAGAUGGGCACUCUAGAGAGACUGCCAGGGAUAACCUGGAGGAAGGUGGGGAUGACGUCAAAUCAUCAUGCCCCUUAUGACUUGGGCCACACACGUGCUACAAUGGCGUAAACAAAGAGAAGCGAGGGCGCGAGCCGGAGCAAAUCCCAAAAAUAACGUCUCAGUUCGGACUGUAGUCUGCAACCCGACUACACGAAGCUGGAAUCGCUGGUAAUCGCGGAUCAGAAUGCCGAGGUGAAUACGUUCCCGGGUCUUGUACACACCG
rnacentral:rRNA from 1 species